UACGGGAGGCAGCAGUGGGGAAUAUUGGACAAUGGGCGCAAGCCUGAUCCAGCCAUGCCGCGUGAGUGAUGAAGGUCUUAGGAUUGUAAAGCUCUUUCACCGGAGAAGAUAAUGACGGUAUCCGGAGAAGAAGCCCCGGCUAACUUCGUGCCAGCAGCCGCGGUAAU
rnacentral:rRNA from 1 species